AUUGAACGCUGGCGGCAUGCCUUACACAUGCAAGUCGAACGGCAGCACGGGAGCAAUCCUGGUGGCGAGUGGCGAACGGGUGAGUAAAGUAUCGGAACGUGCCCAGUCGUGGGGGAUAACGUAGCGAAAGUUACGCUAAUACCGCAUACGAUCUAUGGAUGAAAGCGGGGGAUCGCACGACCUCGCGCGAUUGGAGCGGCCGAUAUCAGAUUAGGUAGUUGGUGGGGUAAAGGCUCACCAAGCCGACGAUCUGUAGCUGGUCUGAGAGGACGACCAGCCACACUGGGACUGAGACACGGCCCAGACUCCUACGGGAGGCGGCAGUGGGGAAUUUUGGACAAUGGGCGAAAGCCUGAUCCAGCCAUGCCGCGUGCAGGAUGAAGGCCUUCGGGUUGUAAACUGCUUUUGUACGGAACGAAAAGGUUUGGCCUAAUAAGCUGAGCUCAUGACGGUACCGUAAGAAUAAGCACCGGCUAACUACGUGCCAGCCGCCGCGGUAA
rnacentral:rRNA from 1 species